AUGGCGUUUGUUUAUAUCUGAGAGGCCUCGGACUUUCUGAAGGAAGAAGGAAAGACGAGUUAUUACCCUGUCGUUAACCCCUCGCGGUGUUUAGUGCAGUAAAAGCCAAGCAGCCCUUCAGAGAUCCCCGUGAAGAGCAGAGACUCCGUCCAUUGCGGUGCUCGGCGCCGACGCUGCAGUAUAUCUGCGCUCAAAAUGACAGACCUGCACGUUGAAGCCAAGUUCAGUGACAAAGUAAAAGCUCGUGGCGUAUUUGCUAAAUCAUUAAUUCUGAGGGGUAACUUUGUUACAGAAUACAGAGUUUAACUUCUGAACCAAGAAACACUAGAAAACCAAAUCCUCUUCUUUCUUCCCCGUCUGAGUACUGAGCUCACAUACAAAUGGAGGUCUUACUGGUAGCUCAAUGGUUACUGUGGUUGUACUGGGAUGUACAGAAAAUGUACUUGAUUGACGUUACAGAUAAACAAAGAGCGCGUUUCUUUUCCUCUCCUUUUUUGUAGUAAAUGACACACCUCAUCUUUCUUUGCUUUAAGAGCCAUUUAUCUAAAUGAAGACAUGACUGGUGGCUCUGGAGGAUGAGCUCUUCCUUGGUGACACACACACCAUAAAGAAGGACACGGUGAGCCCGUCGUGCUGGACAUGCAGUAGCACAGCGGAGGGAGUUUGUCUGCUGCUCUUGUGAAUGAUUUUUAAAUAUAACUCGUAUUACUAGGAGGCAGAGGCACAACUGAAACUUGGGGAGAACCUCAGAGAUUUGAAGAAACCAGGAAUUCAUUUUAACAGACAGACAGACAGACAUUUUCACGAGUGUUUCAUUAUUUCUGCAGGUGAAUUCUACUAACAAACCAUCACAGUGCCUUAAUGCUGCGAUCCUGACUUUAAUGAUCAGACCUGCUGAACGGGGAGAUUUGAAUUAUUGUGACAAAGAAACUAAAUUACAUUUACUGUGAAAGUCGAGAAUUUAACACAUUGGACAACGCUUUACGAAAGAUGAGUUAGUUUUUAAAAUUAUGUUCCUAAAAGUUUAUUUAAAUAUCUAAAGUGACUGUUUUGUUUUUUUUUUGGAUAACGGCACAUAAUUACUUUGUUGGUGACCUAAAAGAUAUUUUAUUCACUUUAAUUAAAGGGUGAAGCCUUGUAUUCUUACACGAUGUAUUGUGUUUUUAAGAUCAGUCGUGUAAACCUGAACUUGAGUGGAUAUGAAGGUUUGAUAUUUCGACUUAACUUGUGACCUGCAGCUCUGGACUGUAGACACGUGAUUAGAAGUGAAGGUUUAUUGGCUUCCAACCAUUUCACUCCUUUCAGACCCCACUUGGCUUAUCUGUUACUGUAGAUAUUUGAUAUCAUUUCACUUACAAACGUAUUUAGUUUGUCUUAUUCUCAUAAUA